GACGAACGCUGGCGGCGUGCCUAAUACAUGCAAGUCGAACGAGAGCGACCGGUGCUUGCACUGGUCAAUCUAGUGGCGAACGGGUGAGUAACACGUGGGUAACCUGCCCAUCAGAGGGGGAUAACAUCCGGAAACGGAUGCUAAAACCGCAUAGGUCUUCGAACCGCAUGGUUUGAAGAGGAAAAGAGGCGCAAGCUUCUGCUGAUGGAUGGACCCGCGGUGCAUUAGCUAGUUGGUGAGGUAACGGCUCACCAAGGCCGUGAUGCAUAGCCGACCUGAGAGGGUGAUCGGCCACAUUGGGACUGAGACACGGCCCAAACUCCUACGGGAGGCAGCAGUAGGGAAUCUUCCGCAAUGGACGCAAGUCUGACGGAGCAACGCCGCGUGAGUGAAGAAGGUUUUCGGAUCGUAAAACUCUGUUGGUAGAGAAGAACAAGUGCUAGAGUAACUGUUAGCGCCUUGACGGUAUCUAACCAGAAAGCCACGGCUAACUACGUG
rnacentral:rRNA from 1 species